GGAACUUGGAUGACAGAAGGUCCCAUACAGAUUAUGUUUUCACACUCGCAGGUGGACCCAUAUGUUGGAGAUCAAUGGUGCAGUCACUUGUGGCAUUAUCUACAACUGAAGCAAAGUACAUGGCGGCAAUUGAGGCAGUCAAGGAAUUAUUGUGGUUGAAAGGACUUGUUAGGGAACUUGGGAUCAAGCAAGAUGGAAUGAAGCUGUACUGUGAUAGUCAGAGCGCCAUCUUCCUAGCGAAGAAUCAGAUUUAUCAUACAAGAACUAAGCACAUUGAUAUGAAAUUUCAUAAAAUAAGAGAGUUGGUCACUUUAGAAGAGCUGUUGUUAGAGAAGGUGCAUACUUCAGAAAAUGCAGUAGACAUGAUGACAAAGCCAAUCACAAUGGAUAGGUUCAAGCACUGCUUGAACUUGAUUAACAUCUCUAGGUGUUAGAGAAGAUGUGUCCCAACGCAUUGGUUUUAGAUGGUGUGGUUGUUUUCUAGGUUAUGUUUUUU
rnacentral:lncRNA from 1 species